GAUGAACGCUGGCGGCGUGCCUAAUACAUGCAAGUCGAGCGAACAGACGAGGAGCUUGCUCCUCUGACGUUAGCGGCGGACGGGUGAGUAACACGUGGAUAACCUACCUAUAAGACUGGGAUAACUUCGGGAAACCGGAGCUAAUACCGGAUAAUAUAUUGAACCGCAUGGUUCAAUAGUGAAAGACGGUUUUGCUGUCACUUAUAGAUGGAUCCGCGCCGCAUUAGCUAGUUGGUAAGGUAACGGCUUACCAAGGCGACGAUGCGUAGCCGACCUGAGAGGGGUUUGGGCCCCCCGGCACCUGAGCACCGUCCCAGCCUCCGAGGGGGGGCGGCAGUGGGGAUUCUUCCCAAAGGGGCGAAAGCCUGCGGAGGCAACCCCGCGGGGGUGAGAAAGGUUUUGGACUCGUAAAACUUUUUUUUUGGGGAAGAAAAAAUGUUUAAGAAACUAUGCCGUUUUGGCGGGUCCCUAUACGAAACCCCCGGGCUACCUCCGU
rnacentral:rRNA from 1 species